ACGGUGGAUGCCCUGGCAGUCAGAGGCGAUGAAGGACGUGCUAAUCUGCGAUAAGCGCCGGUAAGGUGAUAUGAACCGUUAUAACCGGCGAUUUCCGAAUGGGGAAACCCAGUGUGACUCGUCACACUAUCAUUAACUGAAUCCAUAGGUUAAUGAGGCGAACCGGGGGAACUGAAACAUCUAAGUACCCCGAGGAAAAGAAAUCAACCGAGAUUCCCCCAGUAGCGGCGAGCGAACGGGGAGGAGCCCAGAGCCUGAAUCAGCAUGUGUGUUAGUGGAAGCGUCUGGAAAGGCGCGCGAUACAGGGUGACAGCCCCGUACACAAAAGCGCAUGUGCUGUGAGCUCGAUGAGUAGGGCGGGACACGUGGUAUCCUGUCUGAAUAUGGGGGGACCAUCCUCCAAGGCUAAAUACUCCUGACUGACCGAUAGUGAACCAGUACCGUGAGGGAAAGGCGAAAAGAACCCCGGCGAGGGGAGUGAAAAAGAACCUGAAACCGU
rnacentral:rRNA from 1 species